CGCACAUUGCGCCCUUUGGUAUUCCGAAGGGCAUGCCUGUUCGAGCGUCAUUAUCACCCCUCAGGCCCCCGGGCUUGGUGUUGGACGGCUUGGUCGAGUCCCCUCGACCCCUCCUAAAGACAAUGACGGCGGCCUCGCGGGACCCCCGGUACACUGAGCUUCUUAACUGAGCACGUACCGGACGCAUGGGUACCCAGGCUCCGGUCUUCUCCCUUCACAGGGAAACUUUCUCAAGGUUGACCUCGGAUCAGGUAGGAAUACCCGCUGAACUUAA
rnacentral:misc_RNA from 1 species